GCGGUAAUACGUAGGGUGCAAGCGUUGUCCGGAAUUAUUGGGCGUAAAGAGCUCGUAGGCGGUUUGUCGCGUCUGCUGUGAAAACCCGAGGCUCAACCUCGGGCCUGCAGUGGGUACGGGCAAACUAGAGUGCGGUAGGGGAGAUUGGAAUUCCUGGUGUAGCGGUGGAAUGCGCAGAUAUCAGGAGGAACACCGAUGGCGAAGGCAGAUCUCUGGGCCGUAACUGACGCUGAGGAGCGAAAGCGUGGGGAGCGAACAGGAUUAGAUACCCUGGUAGUCCACGCCGUAAACGUUGGGAACUAGAUGUGGGGACCAUUCCACGGUCUCCGUGUCGCAGCUAACGCAUUAAGUUCCCCGCCUGGGGAGUACGGCCGCAAGGCUAAAACUCAAAGGAAUUGACGGGGGCCCGCACAAGCGGCGGAGCAUGCGGAUUAAUUCGAUGCAACGCGAAGAACCUUACCAAGGCUUGACAUAUACCGGAAACGGCUGGAAACAGUCGCCCCGCAAGGUCGGUAUACAGGUGGUGCAUGGUUGUCGUCAGCUCGUGUCGUGAGAUGUUGGGUUAAGUCCCGCAACGAGCGCAACCCUCGUUCUAUGUUGCCAGCACGUAAUGGUGGGAACUCAUAGGAGACUGCCGGGGUCAACUCGGAGGAAGGUGGGGAUGACGUCAAAUCAUCAUGCCCCUUAUGUCUUGGGCUUCACGCAUGCUACAAUGGCCGGUACAAAGGGCUGCAAUACCGCAAGGUGGAGCGAAUCCCAAAAAGCCGGUCUCAGUUCGGAUUGAGGUCUGCAACUCGACCUCAUGAAGUCGGAGUCGCUAGUAAUCGCAGAUCAGCAACGCUGCGGUGAAUACGUUCCCGGGCCUUGUACACACCGCCCGUCAAGUCAUGAAAGUCGGUAACACCCGAAG
rnacentral:rRNA from 1 species